GACGAACGCUGGCGGCGUGCUUAACACAUGCAAGUCGAACGGAAAGGCCCUGCUUUUGUGGGGUGCUCGAGUGGCGAACGGGUGAGUAACACGUGAGUAACCUGCCCUUGACUUUGGGAUAACUUCAGGAAACUGGGGCUAAUACCGGAUAGGAGCUCCUGCUGCAUGGUGGGGGUUGGAAAGUUUCGGCGGUUGGGGAUGGACUCGCGGCUUAUCAGCUUGUUGGUGGGGUAGUGGCUUACCAAGGCUUUGACGGGUAGCCGGCCUGAGGGGGGGACCGGCCACAUUGGGACUGAGAUACGGCGCAGACUCCUACGGGAGGCAGCAGUGGGGAAUAUUGCACAAUGGGCGGAAGCCUGAUGCAGCAACGCCGCGUGCGGGAUGACGGCCUUCGGGUUGUAAACCGCUUUCGCCUGUGACGAAGCGUGAGUGACGGUAAUGGGUAAAGAAGCACCGGCUAACUACGUG
rnacentral:rRNA from 1 species